UGACUCUCGGCAACGGAUAUCUUGGCUCUCGCAUCGAUGAAGGACGUAGCGAAAUGCGAUACUUGGUGUGAAUUGCAGAAUCCCGUGAACCAUCGAGUCUUUGAACGCAAGUUGCGCCCGAGGCUAUCUGGCUAAGGGCACGUCUGCCUGGGCAUCAAGCCUUACGACGCUUCGAGCC
rnacentral:rRNA from 1 species